rnacentral:lncRNA from 1 species
UCUGCUCUCUUCUAUGUCUCUCUCUACUCUCUUCUCUUGUGAAGACCGCUGAAAAAAGCUCUCUUCUCUGUCUCUCUCUUUGAUAUAAAGCAAGCAUUGCAGUCAUUUGGAGGUGCACUUUUGUUCAAGCAAGCAGCUGCUGUCCUAUAAAGCAAAGCUCUCACCGCUACUGCCCUCUGUUAUCUGUUAAACUCAUGCUCACUCCUCAAACCCUAGGUUGAGGAAGAGAAAGGGAUUCACUUGUAGCAAUGCCCAAUCGCCAUCCUCACAGAGCGGGAACCCCAAAUCAGUC